UUGAACGCUGGCGGCAUGCCUUACACAUGCAAGUCGAACGGUAGAGGGGCAACCCUUGAGAGUGGCGAACGGGUGAGUAAUGCAUCGGAACGUGCCCAGUCGUGGGGGAUAACGCAGCGAAAGCUGUGCUAAUACCGCAUGUGAUCUGUGGAUGAAAGCAGGGGACCGCAAGGCCUUGUGCGAUUGGAGCGGCCGAUGUCAGAUUAGCUAGUUGGUAGGGUAAAAGCCUACCAAGGCGACGA
rnacentral:rRNA from 1 species